rnacentral:tRNA from 1 species
GGGCGAGUGGCGGAAUGGUAUACGCGCACGACUUAAAAUCGUGUACCGCAAGGUAUGAGGGUUCGAGUCCCUCCUCGCCCACCA